rnacentral:lncRNA from 1 species
AGCCAUGUUACUAGAUUUUAAUUGGUUGUAGAAUGUGAUUAAAUUAUUACUUUAAAAAGAGGUUUUUUAAAAGAAUUACUAUUAGAAUUUGUAUAACUUUAUUUUCUUUUGAUAAUAGCUUUUGAGAUUGAUUUUCUUGGUAGUAAUUUUAAAUAUUUAGAGUCACCUUUAUUAGAUAUUGGUGACCCUUGAAGUCUUAUUUUGGUUCUUAAAUUUGGUAUUUAGUACAUAUAUUGAAUAAAUCUUAUAAAGAAAAGAGUUGGA